UGAAGGGGAGCCCAGGGGUGUCAGAACCCCCAGACAAGGUGAGGAAGGGGGAGAGAGAGCCUGUGGACAACACGCCUGUGUCUGUGACUGUGACUGUCGGAGCAGUUGGGACCCGGUGGAGCACAGACUGCCCUCAGGCAUGUUUAUUCCCACCAGACGCAGCUCCUGCAGGAGGAACUUGGCCCUGGAAAGGCAGGGAGAGGUCAGGGAGGCUGUGGGACAGGUGGGGAGGGACUGGGAAUGUGGUAGCUGCCCGCUGUGUUAGGCAACGGGAUCAGGCAGCCAGGGGUGAAGUGGGGCAACACUGUACCAGGCUGGAGAGGGCGCCCCCAGAUGUGCAGUUAGAGGACAAGGGGACGGGGGACCCCCCCCCAUCAGCCAGGCAGGUAAGUGCAGAACAGGUGAGUCUCUCCUUCACUGGAUUUCCCUCGCAGGUGAUGCUGUGUCCCUCGGUUCUGACAGUCCUGUCUGCUUCAGGGUCUUCCUCCUGAUCUCCAUGACCGCAGCGCAGGUCUUCCCAGUGGCUGUGUGCUGUCAGCUCUUCCCGCGGUCGUCACUGGGAGGAGACCCUCCCUGGAGUUAGAGGAUCGCUGGUGUCACCUGGGGCCACUGUGAUCUGCAGAGAGCUGCCCUUCUCCUCUACACUCUACAGAGCGGGUUACUGAGCCCGGGAGCUGUCCAGGUCUGAGGAUGUCCAGAGAUGAACUAUAGGAAGACUAGUACUGGGAAGACUGGGGAGUUGGAAUGGAAGUGGGAUACUCUCUUGUCCCAUGUUUUCCCAAGAUAUCCAGAGG